rnacentral:rRNA from 1 species
AGUGAACGCUGGCGGCGUGCUUAACACAUGCAAGUCGAACGAGAACGGAUUAUAGCUUGCUAUAAUUGUCAGCUAAGUGGCGCACGGGUGAGUAAUGUAUAGGUAAUAUGCCUCUUACUAAGGGAUAACAAAUGGAAACGUUUGCUAAUACCUUAUACUCCUUAUUAACAGAAGUUAAUAAGGGAAAGAUUUAUUGGUAAGAGAUUAGCCUGUAUUGUAUCAGUUAGUUGGUGGGGUAAUGGCUUACCAAGACUAUGACACAUAACUGGUUUGAGAGGAUGAUCAGUCACACUGGAACUGAGACACGGUCCAGACUCCUACGGGAGGCAGCAGUGGGGAAUAUUGCACAAUGGACGAAAGUCUGAUGCAGCAACGCCGCGUGGAGGAUGACACAUUUCGGUGCGUAAACUCCUUUUAUAUGAGAAGAUAAUGACGGUAUUAUAUGAAUAAGCACCGGCUAACUCCGUGCCAGCAGCCGCGGUAAAGUAG